ensembl:lncRNA
AUGAAGACUGAGAUGGAGGGUUUGGGUCUGUGGCCAGGGUCACGUCCAGUACGUCACCCCAUGAACAUGCUGUCCCUGUGGCGUCAUCCACCUCAGCCUGAGCUCAUCGACUCAAUCUCAGAGCUCCCCUCACCAAAGUACUUUCAGCUUCAUCCAUUUUUUAUAUGGAAGCCGGAGCACACGAUCAUGGAGAGGAUGAAAAAUAACUACAUCCUGCCAUGUCUUCAUGGUUGUCCCAACCCCCAGGUAGCUUCUUCAGGCGUGGGAAGGCCAAGAGUAAUUAUUGGCACCGGUGGCCAGUACUAUAUCUUGGCCUCACGUCUCACCUGCAAGGCAUGCAAGAGGUACUGGCAUGCUGACAAGCCCCAGUGGCUGGAGAAGCUACCGAAGAGGUUCACAAACAUCGUGCCAGCCUUCCUCACACACAAAAAAGCCAUCUGCAAGUCAGUGAUGGAUGAGCUGAGGCGCAGUGGCAGAUCACCGGAGGACAUGUCCAAGCAGCUGACAGAAGCACUCCAUCUGAAGUAUGAGAGAGCUCACCUGGCCUACCUGGAUAGUGUGCAGAACAUCAGGGAUGCUGAGGCAGGUGUCUACGGACAGAGCACCAUCACUGGGCUCCUCAGACAGACAGACACUCCUGCUCCGUUCGGUGGGUAUGCCGAUGCUGAUGGCUGGUGUGGAGUGUCUAUUUCUGCACACUAUCUUGUCAACUGCCUGGUCCAUGAGUACCAGAGGCAGGAGCACCUCCUCACUCUGCUGCUACAGGGGACCUUUGGACGGGCACUGAGGUCAGAUCACACCCGCAAAGUGGCAAGGAAGGUGGUUCUGUCAUCUGGCACCAUGUCCUCCUAUGCUGUCAUGAAUGAGAGCUGGAUGAUCCUGAGCUGGGUGAUGCUGCAGUCAGAGUGUGAUCGUUCCCUUCACCCUAUGUAUGAGGGUCUGGCUCACCGGUACACUUUGGCUGGAGAGGAGAAGGCGAGCUACCAGUGGGUGGACAGGGACUGCUGUGCUGCCUUCAAGGUGCUGGAUCCUGGGGCUCAGGAGCACAUCGUAUGGGACAGCUGGAAGACCACAGAGGCUCUUGUUACAGAGGCCACUUCUGGAAAGCUGGCUAACAACAGCGCAUCUAGGACAAAGUUUAACAAAGACAUUACCAUCAAGUUAGACUUGUUUCAUUGUAUGCGGCGCUUGACCAGGGAGUGUGUCUCAGAGCAUCAUCCUCUGUACAGCUCUUUCUGUCAGUUCCUCUCUGCAGCAUUCGUUGUCGUGGACCAGAGUGACCUCCAGAACCUCAAGGAUGCCUACACCUUCUGUAGAAUCCUACCUGCGAAUCCCACCAAGCAGCACAUCAGAGAGCACUGUCGGACAAAGGUGCCACAACCAAGAGAACUGCUGCAGAGGGUUGAAGAUGUCCUCUGUCACUUCCACCUGGCGAAGGACGCCAAUGAUGUGCUGCUCUUCAAGCCCUCCAUGUUGAAAGUGUGGAGAAUCCAGCGCAUCCACAUCCUGAGAGGCUGCCUGAGCGACCCUGAGGUGGAGGAGGGCAUCCUGUACAGGUAUGGUGGCACCUUGCAGCUGAACUACACCAAGGGCGAGAGAGCUGCUGUACCUGUCUGGAUCCCUGUGAGAGGCACGUCUCAGCAGGAGGGCUUCCACUAUCACCAAGCCCAGUGGGUAACAGGCAGCAGGGUGUCCAGUGAGCUCUUCCAGGCCCAGGCCAUGACUGGAGUGGUGCGCUGGAACUUCCAGAGGCUGGUGGACCUUAAGAGGCCAGAUGUGGAUCUUCCAGCUGUGUUUGACCCCCUGUUAAUCGCUCAACUGAACACAUCCUCUCUGAGAGUGACAGGGAGGGCAAAAUACCCAAUAUUGCAAGUAGCAAACAGGGACACAGGGGAGCGAUUUGGACUGGAGUAUGUGGAGCCAGGCUGUCGUCCUGUUGUCUUGAACUGGGAUAAGGACAAGACACAGCCCAACUCCUCAGCUGCUGACACCAUGGAGCUGCAGCAGCACCAUGCCCAGGAUCAACCUCAUCCCUGCCCUGCUGCUGUAGUGGGCACAGACCCUCAGGUAAUCCAGGUGAAUCACUCACUCUCAGUAACUGACUGACUGACCGAUCUACUGUUUUAAUCACUAUAUCUGAUGCUUUAUCUUAGGAGACCAGGGACACUGUCCAGGAUGAUCCGGUUGUGGCAGCACCGAUCCUGUCUUCCAGGCAGUGUGCUGAAGCAGUCCCGCAGUUCCAGCUGCCCUUCAUUCCAGCAUCUGCAACAGCCAAAGCAGAGCCUCCUCUGGAAGCAGGUAACUUAAAGUACCCACCUACACCUUCCUUAAUACAGACCUCAUAGCUAAAAGCAGGCUUUGACACUGUGGUUGGAAUUAAUAUCAUGAAAAACAUUGUAAUCUGUUGUCCAUUGACAGUAAUUAUUGAGCUAAUGAGUGCAAAACGUAAAACCUAUAAUAAACAGUAUAAUAAAUGUGUUUUUUCUGUUUGUUUUUUUCAGGCCUGACAGACGCUGCACCGCUGCCUAUGUCCUCUUCUCCUCGGGCCACCCGCACCGGACCCAUCAAGACAGGAGGUCUUAUACAGGUCCUGGACCACAGCCGGUGGACUCCACCCAUGAAAGCCACCAUCGACGGGCUCCUGAUUAAGCACCAUGGCACCAAGGAUCUUUUGAAGCGGGUGGAUGCAGAAUAUGCUGCCAUGGUACAGACAGCCUGCACUGAUCCCAACAGCCUCCUUCAUCCAACCACAUGUCAGCAUAUCUCCAGAUAUGUCAAACAUGUGGCCAAAUUAAAAAAUACAAACUCCUCUCUCAACACAAGUGUGGAGAAGGUUCAUGAAACGCAGCUGCUGUGGCAGAGUUUGACUACAGGCAGCCAGACGGUGAGUGUCCCUGUCACAACCCUGCCUCCUGCAUCUUUUAACCCUCCAUCUGUGGCUUCCCCCAAAGAGGAGUCAAUGAGUCGGGCCUCUGUGGAGAACAUUGUGAAGGAGAUCCUGGACAAACAACAGCAACAACAACAACAACAGCAGCAGAAAAAGACCAGGAACUGUUUAGCCUGUGGUCAGCCAAAAUCACGCUACCAAGGCGAUGGCUCCUCAGUUCAUUUCUUUUAUCAGACUCCAGCAGUCAAAUACUUUUACUGCUCCACCAAGGUCUUUAAGACCUAUGAGGACGAAGGCCUCCAAAACCCCAGGAUGUCUUUUGCAGACUUUGCGGCAUCUCCAUUUUUUGAGCGGGAGCUGGAGGCUGCCAGACAGAGGGGAGCGGAGUGGAAGAAGGUGGCAGAGGGGAGGGCAAAGAGGAAGUCAGCAGAGCACCUGCCAACAGGUCGUCUGUGCAGGACCUGUCACCUGCCAUUAAAGCAGGGGCCUGACAGCCCUCAUAUUCACACCUGUUUCCCCAAUGUGCCAGGGAAAUACAUCUACUGCCCUGCAAAAGUUUUCUCCCUGUACAAGGCACAGGGCAUGGUCAAGGAGAUGACCUGGGUGGAGUUUCAGCGAACAGACUUUUAUGAAGCUGAAAAGGCCAGAUGGAUUGCAGAGAAGAGGAAGUGAACCUUCUGUCCCAAAACCCACCAUCCAACCAUCACUGAUGAAGGCAGCCACACUGUACACUUGUUUUAUAUUGUAUAUAUGUUAAUAGAUACACAAGUUACUGUAUAUUCUGUAUAUUGUAUUUACUGUUCAUUUGUUUUUUAAAUGAUCUUUUUGUACAUAUUUUGUCUGUUCAUUUAUUCAU